AUGGAGGUCCUUAUUUCUAGUGGUGUGGAACUACUCAAGCGCAGCAAACAGGGUGGUCUUAGUCAACAUCAGCUUGGGAUUAAGAAAAAAUCCAUGGAAUUUGCUCGGUGGGCUCAAGAAAGAGGACAAAGUUUUAUAGUCAAUGGACUAAAAUCAGCAUGUGCCAGUAUUCAGGUAAUUAUUCAAGGAAAGAAGAGAUUUGUGAGUUUGGAAAAACAAAAAUGGUCGAUUCUUGAGCCUGGUACUACUAUAAUGUCACUAAAAGUACUCCCUCGACCUAAUAUUCACUUGACAUUGAAGAUACUUGAUGCAACACCUAUGGACUCUAGUUUGAUUUGCUUGCUGGAAGAUAUUGAAUACAGACCUGUACCAUUGUCAUGCUCUAUUCCUCAUGGUCACUGUGCUGGGGUGAUACAUGAUUUUGAGGUUCUGAAUCCAUGGUCACCACCACUAUACUUGAAUAUUCUGGCACUAAGUUCCUUCAGAGGGGUUCCCUUUUAUGCUUCUGAACAAAUUCAGUGGGAAAUUGCUGGUGAUAUUUUCAAGAAAUUGUUUCUUUGCAGCAUGGGUGAGGAAAUCCUUCCAGCUAACUUAAUUGUCGUCUGCUAUAGCAUUGUUGGUGUUUCUGUUUGGUCCAAGUUUGCUACAGGAUUCAAACAAAUAGAGGCCUGUUUCGUUGAGCACUUCAUGACACAGUGCAUCAAUUUGGGAUUUUCUCCUAGUGCCACUCUAGCACAUAUGCAGUUGUAG
rnacentral:rRNA from 1 species